UACGUAGGGGGCGAGCGUUGUCCGGAAUUAUUGGGCGUAAAGAGCGUGUAGGCGGUUCGGUAAGUCUGCCGUGAAAACCUGGGGCUCAACCCCGGGCGUGCGGUGGAUACUGCCGGGCUAGAGGGUGGUAGAGGCGAGUGGAAUUCCCGGUGUAGCGGUGAAAUGCGCAGAUAUCGGGAGGAACACCAGUAGCGAAGGCGGCUCGCUGGGCCAU
rnacentral:rRNA from 1 species